CAGUAGCCGCGGUAAUACGAAGGGGGCUAGCGUUGCUCGGAAUUACUGGGCGUAAAGGGCGCGUAGGCGGACAGUUAAGUUGGGGUGAAAGCCCGGGGCUCAACCUCGGAAUUGCCUUCAAUACUGGCUGUCUUGAGUAUGAGAGAGGUGUGUGGAACUCCGAGUGUAGAGGUGAAAUUCGUAGAUAUUCGGAAGAACACCAGUGGCGAAGGCGACACACUGGCUCAUUACUGACGCUGAGGCGCGAAAGCGUGGGGAGCAAACAGGAUUAGAGACCCCCGUAGUCCCUGUCUCUUAUACA
rnacentral:rRNA from 1 species